GGUCCUUGUCGCGGAGAAGCAUCAGCUCAGGUUUGUUGAAUUGAUGGUGGUGAAUACCGGGGCUUCCUCCCUGCCCUUGGAGGCCAGGCACACUCCAGACCUCCCUUACGUCAUCGAAGGAGGCGAGUCAAAUCUGAAACCUUGUAUAAAAAAGGCAGUGUGUUGUAGGGAAAGAGUCUGGACUUUAUUUUUAAUUAUUCUCUUCUUUUUUUUUUUAAUUUUUUAAAUGUUUAUUUUUGACAGAGGCAGAGAGAGAGAGAGAGACAGAGUGCCAGCGGGGGAGGGGCAGAGAGAGAGGGAGACACGGAAUCCGAAGCAGGCUCCAGUCUCUGAGCUGCCAGCACAGAGCCCGACAUGGGGCUCAAACUCACGAACUGUGAGAUCAUGACCUGAGAUGAAAAAAGAUACCGCUUCCACGAAAUGAGAAUAAGAUGCCUUGAACGAUAACAAGCACCAAACAAAUCAGAACAAGAAAGAGCUACUAGAAAUUAAAAACAUAAGUAAAAAUUCAAGAGCAAAAUGGGAAGAUACAGUUAAAGAAAUCUCCUGGCAAACAGAACAAAAAAACAGAUGCAAAAUAAAGAGGAUGGAAAUCUUUUUUUUUUU